rnacentral:rRNA from 1 species
AUUGUAUCCACGAUUAGAGUUUGAUCCUGGCUCAGAUUGAACGCUGGCGGCAUGCCUUACACUGCAAGUCGAACGCAAGCGGGGCAACCCGCAAGUAGAGUGGCGAACGGGUGAGUAAUACAUCGGAACAUGUCCAGUAGCGGGGGAUAACCUGUCGAAAGAUAGGCUAAUACCGCAUACGAUCUACGGAUGAGCAGGGGACCGCAAGGCCUUGCACUAUUGGAGUGGCCGAUGUCGGAUUAGCUAGUUGGUGAGGUAAAGGCUCCAAGGCGACGAUCCGUAGCUGGUCUGAGAGGACGAUCAGCCACACUGGAACUGAGACACGGUCCAGACUCCUACGGGAGGCAGCAGUGGGGAAUUUUGGACAAUGGGCGCAAGCCUGAUCCAGCCAUGCCGCGUGAGUGAAGAAGGCCUCGGGUUGUAAAGCUUUUCGGCGGGGACGAAACGGUUCGCACUAAUACUGCGGACUACUGACGGUACCCGCAUAAGAAGCACCGGCUAACUACGUGCCAGCAGCCGCGGUAAUACGUAGGGUGCAGGCGUUAAUCGGAAUUACUGGGCGUAAAGCGUGCGCAGGCGGUCUGUUAAGACAGGUGUGAAAUCCCCGAGCUCAACUUGGGAAUUGCGCUUGUAACCAGGCUAGAGUGUGGCAGAGGGGGGUGGAAUUCCAGGUGUAGCAGUGAAAUGCGUAGAUAUCUGGAGGAACACGAUGGCGGAGGCAGCCCCCUGGGUUAACACUGACGCUCAGGCACGAAAGCGUGGGGAGCAAACAGGAUUAGAUCCUGGUAGUCCACGCCCUAAACUAUGUCAACUGGUUGUCGGGGAAGAAAUUCCUUGGUAACGAAGCUAACGCGUGAAGUUGACCGCCUGGGGAGUACGGCCGCAAGGUUAAAACUCAAAGGAAUUGACGGGGAGCACAAGCGGUGGAUUAUGUGGAUUAAUUCGAUGCAACGCGAAAAACCUUACCUACCCUUGACAUGUACGGAAUCCCGCAGAGAUGUGGGAGUGCCCGAAAGGGAACCGUAACACAGGUGCUGCAUGGCUGUCGUCAGCUCGUGUCGUGAGAUGUUGGGUUAAGUCCCGCAACGAGCGCAACCUUGCCAUUAGUUGCUACAUUCAGUUGGGCACUCUAAUGGGACCGCCGGUGACAAACCGAAGGUGGGGAUGACGUCAAGUCCUCAUGGCCCUUAUGGGUAGGGCUUCACACGUAAUACAAUGGUCGGUACAGAGGGUUGCCAACCCGCGAGGGGGAGCUAAUCCCAGAAAGCCGAUCGUAGUCCGGAUUGUAGCUGCAACUCACUGCAUGAAGCCGGAAUCGCUAGUAAUCGCGGAUCAGCAUGUCGCGGUGAAUACGUUCCCGGGUCUUGUACACACCGCCCGUCACACCAUGGGAGUGGGUUCCACCAGAAGUAGAGCCUAACCGCAAGGAGGGCGAUUACCAGGUGAGAUUCAUGACUGGGGGAAGUCGUAACAAGGUAACC